GACGAACGCUGGCGGCGUGCUUAACACAUGCAAGUCGAACGGAAAGGCCCUGCUUGUGUGGGGUGCUCGAGUGGCGAACGGGUGAGUAACACGUGAGUAACCUGCCCUUGACUUUGGGAUAACUUCAGGAAACUGGGGCUAAUACCGGAUAGGAGCUCCUGCUGCAUGGUGGGGGUUGGAAAGUUUCUGCGGUUGGGGAUGGACUCGCGGCUUAUCAGCUUGUUGGUGGGGGAGGGGCUUACCAAGGCUUUGACGGGUAGCCGGCCUGAGAGGGUGACCGGCCACAUUGGGACUGAGAUACGGCCCAGACUCCUACGGGAGGCAGCAGUGGGGAAUAUUGCACAAUGGGCGGAAGCCUGAUGCAGCAACGCCGCGUGCGGGAUGCCGGCCUUCGGGUUGUAAACCGCUUUCGCCUGUGACGAAGCGUGAGUGACGGUAAUGGGUAAAGAAGCACCGGCUAACUACGUG
rnacentral:rRNA from 1 species